UACGUAGGUGGCAAGCGUUGUCCGGAUUUACUGGGCGUAAAGCGUGUGUAGGCGGACCUUUAAGUAGAAAGUGAAAGGUUGGUGCUCAACGCCAACACUGCUCUCUAUACUGGAGGUCUUGAGUGUCGGAGAGGAAGAUGGAACUGCACGUGUAGCGGUGAAAUGCGUUGAGAUGUGCAGGAACACCAAUGGCGAAGGCAAUCUUCUGGACGAAAACUGACGCUGAGACACGAAAGCCAAGGUAGCAAACAGG
rnacentral:rRNA from 1 species